AUUGAACGCUGGCGGCAUGCUUUACACAUGCAAGUCGAACGGCAGCGCGGGCUUCGGCCUGGCGGCGAGUGGCGAACGGGUGAGUAAUGCAUCGGAACGUGCCCAGUAGUGGGGGAUAGCCCGGCGAAAGCCGGAUUAAUACCGCAUACGACCUGAGGGUGAAAGCGGGGGACCGAAAGGCCUCGCGCUAUUGGAGCGGCCGAUGUUGGAUUAGCUAGUUGGUGGGGUAAAGGCUUACCAAGGCGACGAUCCGUAGCUGGUCUGAGAGGACGACCAGCCACACUGGGACUGAGACACGGCCCAGACUCCUACGGGAGGCAGCAGUGGGGAAUUUUGGACAAUGGGGGCAACCCUGAUCCAGCCAUGCCGCGUGCGGGAAGAAGGCCUUCGGGUUGUAAACCGCUUUUGUUCGGGAAGAAAUCCUCUGGGCUAAUACCCCGGGGGGAUGACGGUACCGGAAGAAUAAGCACCGGCUAACUACGUG
rnacentral:rRNA from 1 species